rnacentral:rRNA from 1 species
AUGUACCGGCAUCAAUUCACACCCACUAAAAUUACCCAAGCACACGGAGCUGUGACGAUGGUAACAAGCUGGGUGUCCGUUGCAGCGUUGCUGCUGCUGAUGUCGGUGCCAAUGGUGGUCGCCGUGGAUCCGCCGACGACGAUGCCGAACUGCAAUGCCACCUGUGGCGACGUGAGCGUGCCGUACCCGUUCGGCAUGGGCCCCGCCAGGUGCUACCGGCCAGGGUUCAAGCUCACCUGCGACCACGGCAGCAAGCCGCCGAGGCUGCUCCUCGGCGAGGGCGGCGCCGGUGCUUUGGAGGUUGUCAACAUCUCCCUGAGGAACACCACGGUGCGCGUCAUCCGCCAGGGAGUGUACGCCGUAAACAUGAGCGACUCCGGCGAUGGGGUCUACCGGUGGAGCUGGAGCCUCGCCGUCGGCGGGGGCGGGGUGCUGCCAUACCCAUACAUCCUCGGGCAGGACUUGAACGAGCUCAUCCUCACGGGGUGCAACGUGCAAGUCACGCUCCAGAGGAUGAACGGGAGCAGCGGCCAUAUCGUCAGCGGCUGCGCCUCCUUCCGCUCCAUGUAUCUGAUGGUGACCCGCGAUGAAGGCGGCAACAUCUGCUCCAACCUCGGCUGCUGCCAGUCGUACAUCCCCGCAGGCGACGCAUCCUAUGGCGUGGAGCUUAAGCGGCUCGGCGGCGGCAUGCCGAGAUGGAGAAUGUACUUGGAGUACAACGCGGUGAACGUGCUCGUCGCCGAGAUGGGUUGGCUCAAUUACGACCGGAUAAGGAGACUGCGCGUCGCGCUGGGAAGGACAGCUGCUGAGGUGAAGGUCCCCAUGAUUCUCCGGUGGGCGGUGCCCUACGGAGCUGCACCGACCGACAGACGGCAUGACAACUACACGGGGAUAUGCCCGGCCGACGCAGAUCGGACCAUCUGCAAAAGCACCAACAGCCAGUGCGUGUACGAGACAACCAAUACAUCCACGGGCUUUUUUUUCGAGAAAAAGGGUGAACCCCGGGCCACAUUCAGAGGCUAUUCUUGCCGGUGCAACAAGGGCUACGACGGUAACCCUUACCUCACCGCCGGAUGCCAAGAUAUCAAAGAGUGUGGUCGAAAAGAAGAACAUGGGUGCUUCGGCAACUGCGAGGAACUUCCCGGAACAUUCCGGUGCGGAUGUCCCAAAGGGACCAAGGGCAACCCCAAUGUACGCAAUGACUGUGUCAUGCCUGUGGUAAACACAGGUAAUCGUCACUUGAGAUUAAUCAUUGGUCUGUCGGUUGCUAGUGGCCCGUGUGUUCUCAUUUUGGUUCUUGGUGCACUCAUAAUAACCCGUUAUCUUAAGCAACGAGGCUAGGAUGUUGAGGCAGAAAUUUUUUCGACAAAACCGUGGACAACUAUUGAAGCAACUCGUAUCCGAUAGGGAUGACAUCGCAGAGAGAAUGCUCAUUUCUCUAGAGGAGCUAGAGAAGGCUACUAACAAUUUUGAUCAAGCUCGUAAGCUUGGUGGUGGAGGGCAUGGCACUGUCUUCAAAGGGAUCUUGUCAGAUCUACAUGUUGUGGCCAUCAAGAAAUCAAAGAUCAACCAUAAGAAUAUCAAGAGAGAAAUUGGCGAGUUCAUUAAUGAGGUUGCCAUACUCUCACAGAUCAAUCAUAAGCAUAUUGUGAAACUUCACGGUUGUUGCCUUGAGGCAGAAAUCCCUCUACUUGCUUACGAGUUCGUUUCCAAUGGAACACUCAGUGACCAUCUUCACACAGAGGCACCAAGAUCUCUAUCUUGGAAAGAUAGGUUAAGGAUCGCAAGUGAAAUAAGCAAAGCUCUAGCUUAUCUUCACUCCGCUAUUUCAGUCCCCAUAAUCCAUAGAGAUAUUAAGCCUUCCAACAUACUUCUUGAUGAUGCCUUGGUAGCGAAAGUGUCAGACUUUGGAGCUUCACGAUACAUUCCAGAUCAAACACAAACACCAACUGCAGUGCAAAGAACUAUGGGAUAUUUAGAUCCAAUGUAUUAUUACACACGACGAUUAACAGAAAGUAGCGACGUCUAUAGCUUUGGUGUCCUUCUUGUUGAGUUGCUAACAAGGAAGAGGACAUCUUUGUGUAUGUCCUCUGAAGGUGAUUGCAUUGUCACACAGUUUGUUGAACUACAUGAUGAUGGAAAUCAAGCCAAAAUAUUGGAUCCACAGGUCAUGGAGGAGGGAGGUAGUGAAGUGGAAGAUGUAGCUACUCUAGCUGUGUCAUGCAUGAAACUGAUAGCAGGAGAGCGACCAACCAUGAGGCAAGUGGAGAUUGUCUUGGAAGCUCUCCAAAGCACCCAAGGAGUGUGUCCUGGGUGA